rnacentral:rRNA from 1 species
UACGGAGGAUGCGAGCGUUAUCCGGAUUUACUGGGUGUAAAGGGCGAGUAGGCGGGAUUGCAAGUCAGAUGUGAAAACUAUGGGCUCAACCGAUAGAGUGCAUUUGAAACUGCAGUUCUUGAGUGAUGGAGAGGCAGGCGGAAUGCGCGGUGUAGCGGUGAAAUGCAUAGAUAUCGCGCAGAACUCCGAUUGCGAAGGCAGCAUGCCGGCUCCACACUGACGCUGAGGCACGAAAGCGUGGGUAUCGAACAGG